rnacentral:rRNA from 2 species
UGGGGGAUAUUGCACAAUGGGCGAAAGCCUGAUGCAGCGACGCCGCGUGGGGGAUGAAGGCUUUCGGGUUGUAAACCUCUUUCGCUAUCGAACAAGGCCCGCUUAGGGUGGGUUGAGGGUAGGUGGAGAAGAAGCGCCGGCUAACUACGUGCCAGCAGCCGCGGUAAUACGUAGGGCGCGAGCGUUGUCCGGAAUUAUUGGGCGUAAAGGGCUUGUAGGCGGCUUGUUGCGCCUGCUGUGAAAACGCGGGGCUUAACUUCGCGCGUGCAGUGGGUACGGGCAGGCUUGAGUGUGGUAGGGGUGACUUGAAUUCCAGGUGUAGCGGUGGAAUGCGCAGAUAUCUGGAGGAACACCGAUGGCGAAGGCAGGUCACUGGGCCAUUACUGACGCUGAGGAGCGAAAGCAUGGGUAGCGAACAGG